rnacentral:lncRNA from 1 species
UGGUUAGGUCAUAUGACUGGAGUUUGCCUCUGUCUCUGCAUUUUUGACCAUAUUAUCAUAUGUUGGAGCUAAAUAAUUCACAGCAGUGAUGUCUCUGAGGAAGUAACCAGGCAAACAAUGACUGAGAGGAGAGGACACAGUGGAGAAAAAUGGCUCUGCAUGUUGUGAGGUAUGGUGGCUACUCCUCCCUUGUUGUUUUUGUCUCUCUUGCAGCUUGGCAGCAUGUCAUAAGAUGAUGUACCAAUGUCAUGGCCUUGUCCUCUAUGUUAUGUAUGAAGGAAAGGGAAAAUGGCUUUGCUCUACUGGGAAGAUAAGUUGAACCAACCGAUACCAUUCAAGAUUUAGUAAGGCUUGAAAUCUAAAAUAUGUGGGCAAGGGAGGUGCUGUGACAUGAGCUUAAGCCUACGUUAGCUUCUGAAACAACGGUCCUGUUGAUAUUAUCGCGCAUCAAUAUCUGGUGCUGGCCCCUGCUUUCUCGGCAGAAGAGGUGAGGUUUCCCGGAUGACUUUCAAACUUGCGGCAGCAGCCACGGCUGUCAUGCAAGUGAUGGGGUGAGCAAGAUGUGAGAGGUGAGUUGGGGACGAGAAGAACGGUACUGCCCGGAGUUGAUAGCACACGGCUGCUCCUCCUUUCUUGCAUUGUGUUUGCGUUGCAGGCUUGUUUCUCUUGGCAUGCCUCUAUCCUUUCACUCCUCUACAAAUCCAUUUGAGAGAGUCGUGACUUUCUUCAAAGACAGAAAGAGCAUGAAAGGGAACACAAACGAGCAUCACAGAAGCCGUGUCUCUGCGUCUCCCCAAAUGUAUUCCUCUUCAGCUACAUGCUGGACAACAAAACAGCAGUAUUCUCUACUGGAAUUGUUGGAAAAAAACAUCUGAUUGAUUUCCAUUUGAAUAAAAUAUCUGCCUUGCUAACA